rnacentral:rRNA from 1 species
UUACCUCAGUAACGGCGAGUGAAGCGGUAACAGCUCAAAUUUGAAAUCUGGGUCUUUUAGGCUCCGAGUUGUAAUUUGUAGAAGAUGCUUCGGGUGUGGCCCCGGUCUAAGUUCCUUGGAACAGGACGUCAUAGAGGGUGAGAAUCCCGUAUGUGACUGGGUGCUUUCGCUCAUGUGAAGCUCUUUCGACGAGUCGAGUUGUUUGGGAAUGGCAGCUCAAAAUGGGUGGUAUAUUUCCAUCUAAAGCUAAAUAUUGGCCAGAGACCGAUAGCGCACAAGUAGAGUGAUCGAAAGAUGAAAAGCACUUUGGAAAGAGAGUUAAACAGUACGUGAAAUUGUUGAAAGGGAAGCGCUUGCAAUCAGACUUGCACGCCGUUAAUCAUCCAGGGUUCUCUCUGGUGCACUUGGCGGCGUUCAGGCCAGCAUCGGUUUUAGGGGUGGGAUAAAGGCCUUGGGAAUGUAGCUUCUUUCGGGAAGUGUUAUAGCCCUCGGUGCAAUGCCGCCUCCUGGGACCGAGGACCGCGCUUCGGCUAGGAUGCUGGCGUAAUGGUUGUAAGCGACCCGUCUUGAAACACGGACCAAGGAGUCUAACAUUUAUGCGAGUAUUUGGGUGUUAAACCCAUAUGCGGAAUGAAAGUGAACGGAGGUAGGAACCCUUAAGGGUGCACUAUCGACCGAUCCUGAUGUCUUCGGAUGGAUUUGAGUAAGAGCAUAACUGUUGGGACCCGAAAGAUGGUGAACUAUGCGUGAAUAGGGUGAAGCCAGAGGAAACUCUGGUGGAGGCUCGCAGCGGUUCUGACGUGCAAAUCGAUCGUCAAAUUUGCGUAUAGGGGCGAAAGACUAAUCGAACCAUGAGUGGGUACUAGGUGGUUAAGAGAUCGCUGAGAGGCGAUUUAGUGGGCAUCGCGCCGCGACACCGUCAAAUUGCGGGGGACGUCCUGGGGGAAGGCAAGCUACCGCAGCCGUUGGGCGAAAGCCCCGGUGCGCACCGGGUUAACGACCUUGGGGGAUGGAAUAACGCUUGUGGAGGGAUAAUUCGCAGCCAAACCCGGUCACAGGGUGCAGUUCACAGACUAAAUGUCGGUGGGCAUCUGCCUCCGGGCAUUUGCUUAAGUUAUAGUCGUUCUCUCGGGCGACCGAGCCGGUGGGAAGAAGCGGGAAGGGUAGCGAGCUUCAGCCCUACCCGCCCAAGCCCCCGGGCCUCU